AUGAGUUAAGGUUAUGUGAAACCUAAGUGGAGAAUUUUCUAACCAAAGUCCUCUGAAUCUUCCUCUCGUAAGGUGCCACUGGCCUGUUGGGUGUUCAGUGUUAGAUAGUCUGAAUUCUGUUCUGUGUUAAACAUACUACCUACUCAGAGUAGCAAAAAUUUGCAUCCAUUUUUUUACAGGAAUGAACUGAAUGCACCACCAAACUAGUGAGUCUCCAUCAGAAUUUAGGCCUAAAUUAUGCUUUAAUUCCAUCAGGCCAUGAGUUUAUCUCCUAGAUGUUGUAAGGUAGGAUGUUACAUUGCUGUUUCUAUUCUUUUCUGAAAGAAUGAUCGAUAGAAGACAUGAUGGAUAGUGGUAGGCAAAGAAAGAGUGAUCCUGGUUGUGAAAGAUACUGAUAACAUUUUGCCUUGUGUGGCAAACUUUAAUUUCAUGAAAAUGCUAACACAAAACAUCCCUUUCACUCAAGCAACACCUAUUUGAAGGCUUCUGUUCUCUGACUUGCAGCUCGAAAAAAUAUGGCACAGAAACUCUCCAGUUAUCUCACUGUCAGAAACUCAAUGUUUCUGUCUUCAAAGCUGUUUACAGCAAUGCUGCAUUGAAAAAGGCUACUCUCACAUUUCCUGAGCCAUUAUCCCAGCUCAGUGUCCUAAAAGAAAUUCUCUCUGCUAUUUAUUUUUCCUUUUUGUUCUAGCUAAACCUAGGUACUGUGUACAGUUCCCUAAUCUUCAGCCUCUUUGUCUAAAUAAUGUUACGUGUCACUGUUAAUGUAGAUGUAGAUCAGAGUACUGUAUAGCAUUAUUUAUUAAAUUACUGUGGUUAUUACUUCAUCUUUUCAUCAAAAAAGGAAUAGGAAUUAUGCCUGUGACCACUCUCUCCCAAAUAUUUCUAUACUGUCAUGAAACAUCUGAGAAUAAAAUACAAUAAAAUUUCUUUUCCUUCUUUUGUAUCAAAAUGAAUCUGACAUACUGUCAGAAAAAACUAUCUCAGUUUCAGGAAAAUCAUUCAUGGUUCAUUGCACUAACAUUAUUCAACAUGCAUUAAAAGCCAUUUCACAGAAUGAAAUGACAAAUACAUGUGAAGAAUGUACUGUCUUUUUGAAACACGCCAUCUUCUUACAGUCUUUCUCUGUGCUUUCCAAAUCAGAAAUUAGGCAGGAGGGAACUGGCUCAAAAUUGAACUCAACAAAAACAAGUCAGCAAAGAAGUAAAAAAAUGAAAGAUAAGUCUUUCAGACCUAGAUUUUGGUUUUGAUAAUUUAAAAGAUUUUCAUUUAUUAAUUUAUCAUAUUUUUACUUGCAGAUAUUAAAAAAUACUCAUAGUGAGCUGGAGGUAGGUAUGAAAAAAAAAAAAAAGAAGUAACUUUAAAAAGCUUGUAGAACUGAACCAUUAUAUUGUUAUAUAGUCUAACAAUUAACAUUUAAAAUUUAAGCUGGCUUACUUCACUAUAUCACAAUUGCAUCUGUAAAGAUGUCUGCAGCUGGCAUUGUUUCUGAGUGUAUGGAAAGCAGAUUAAAACAGCAAUAUCUUUCAGUGUUUGUGGGUAAAUUAUUUAUGUAAUAUUCCUCUAAGUAAGAAAAAUGUGGAGAGAUGUUUUAGCAUAAGACUCUUUUUUAAAGUCUUUUAAUGUUAUAAUUGCAUUGUUGGCUAUCGCAAAGCUCUGGAAUAGGAAAUUAACAUAUGAAGUACCAUGUUUCAUAUGAUGUCUAUUUCAUAUAAUUUACUCUGUCCAACAGCAUAGACCAGACAGACAUGUGAUGAGGAAUUAAACCUCCCAUGUUCAACAUCUGUCUCCUCUAGCUUCUUUCUUACAAUCUGGUCCUGUUCUCACUUUCACCUGAUGUCCUUACACAUUUCCUUUUUGAAAUUGCUGAUUAUUUCUCUCACCAUUGUGCAUAUGGCUGUGUCUUUUCAUUUCACGGACAGUGAGAAGAAAAUCAAGCUUGGAGUAGCUCAAAUGACUUCAAAGGAAAUUCUCUAUGGAUACUUUCCUCUCUAUUAGUAUAAAUUUGCUAAUUAUUUCUGACUCUUAAUUCCUCAGCUGAACAAGAAAACUGUUUAAAACCCUGGCAUCACUACGUGAAUUUUGUACAACAGCUUUUGGAGGAAGAGUCACUGAGGACCUUGUGAACAAAAAAGUGAUUAAAAUGACUAGAAGAGAGGUUCUGAAUAGACUACUGAUGUAUUGUUUUCACAGUAAGUAGCACAUAGCAUAAAACCAUAAAGCAAUAAGCUUUCUGCUUUACUUUCCCCAGGAAGCUGUCUUACAUUUCCUUUAGUCCACUUAUUUUCAUUUUUAUACUGAAAUUAGCAGAUUCCUCAUUGCAAUAUCCAUGUUCUCUCUCAUCAGAUAAGCCUAGUGUCCUUCUUCCCCCUUGUUACCCAGAAUUGUACGUUUCAAGUUUGGUUUUUACUUGUAUGCCAAGCUUAGUCCGGACUAGGGGAUAUCACUCUGGGAUUGAGCAUCCCACUAUUCCCCCAGAGUCUCAGUGUUACUGAUUCCAGCAUCUUCAUUCUUGCAACUGUCACAUUUCCUGCUGAUUUCCUUUGUACUGAUCUGUCAGUCUUAACUUUGGAUAUGCAGCAGGAUGUUAUCAUUACAUUAAACUAAGGAUCAUAUAAAGGUUCUAUCACAGUAUGCUAAUCUUAUGGUAAAGGACAAGUGAAUUUACAUAGCACCAAAGUUAAUUUUUAUUCUUAGCAUAUAUAUGUGUAUAUAUAUGUGUCUGUACACAUGCACAAUUUAAGGAUAUUUUUUAAGGUCUCUAAUUUUAAUUUUUGGAUAAUUAGAAAUCAGUUGCUUUCUGAAAUAUUUUUGGUUCUUUUUCCUAGAUAAAUGCCUUUGAAUACAUAUUCAGCAGUUGUCCUGGUUUUGUUAAAAACAAGACCAUUUCUCUUUUAGUGAAUUUUCCUUUCAGCUAAUUUAUUCUAAGUACCUUCUAAGUAACUGCAUGUUUUUUUUCGGACACUGUGCUCUGAAACUGCUAAGAGCGACCAAUGGAAUGCAGAAGAAGCUCAUAUUUAGAUUUAUUGCUAUAACAACCAAGAAUUCUGAUAAAAUUAUGCCAGCUCCGCAGCGAAGAAGGGCGUUUUUGCAAGGAGGCAUGGACAGAACAGGUGACUAAAACUGACCGAGUAUUGCAUCCCAUACAUGUCAUACACCCUAUAAAAGUGGGAGAUCACAAGGGUCUCCCUCUCUUCAACCAUGGCCAGCAUCUGGAGAGGACCCUGCCUGCUGUGCCUGUGAUCCGAGGCCUGUUCCAGACCCUGUAUUCCUGAAUUCAGUUCCAGUUUUCUAUGAAGUCCCACCCAUGACUUCCGCGUGCCUGCCCUGCAGCCGCUGGAGUCACGCCAACUUCACAUUGGGCAAAACUGCUACCCCGGGAGAUUCAAGAUGCAACCAUAAUUGUUUUUUGAGAAUCAACCAAACUAGAGGCAAGUAUUUCAAAUGCUGUUGUUAUGAACAAGCAGUCGAGUAGUUAAGAAAUGGCUACUUCCUGUAUACUAAGCCAAAAAAAUAAAUACAGUAUAUGUUUAAAUUGUUCAUUCAGCAGAUUAUUUACUCUUCACACCAGAUCCCACAGAGAGUGGACUAGCAGUCUCUGUGCAGGCUAAGUUGUUCACACAGAACAUUCUCCAGAGUACAGAAACCAGUUUUGCAGGACAGAUAAUUAGUUCACUUUUCCUUUAAUAGGUCUGCAUCUCACUCAGCCCUUCUGAGAAGGACUUGCACUUUCUUCUUAAGUCAAAAGAUUCAGGCUUUGUUUCUGCGUUUUUCAUUCCAGCUUGAAUAUUAUAAAUCCAGCAGUUAAUGAAACAGUUGUGAUAAUGCCCAUUUUACAGCCCAGCUUUUAGGAAGUCAUUAAUUACCAGAGCAAUUAAGUUUGACCUUUAUGCUUUCACAUGUCCUUUUUUAAUGUGGAAAGAAUAUACAUAUGUACACACAUACAUACAUAUAUGUAAAAAUAAAUGAUCUAAUAAAUGUUUUGGUCAGUGUCUUAUAUCCCCAGGAGAUUUCAGAUGAUUGUCAAGGUGCAAUAAAUACUGGAGAAAGAAAACACGGAAAUUACUGCAGCCUGAUGGACUUACUAGUCUGAUGAACGUUUUAUGCCUCAGUCUUUUUAUGUCACCACAGUUUAUACUACUGCAGUGACCAGAAUGAUCUCUACCAUCGUUGAAUCUCCGACUGUGCUGUUAUCUGCUCAUAAAAGAUUUGAACUUUCAUUUUUUCUCACUAAAAGCAGUAUCCUUUAGCAAAAUAGCAUUCCUUGCACUUAAUUUGUUUCCAUCUCAACAUACUCUAUCCUUCAAAUGUCAUCUUUGCUUAUCUGCAAUAGAAAACAAGAAUUUCUCCAGCAACUAGAAAAUAUUGGAACUUAGCUUUACUUUGAGACUUCUGUUUAAAAAAAAAAAAAAAAAAAAUGUAUAUAUAUAUAUAUGUAUAUAUAUAUAUAUAAAGGCUAUUUCUGGGCAUAUUAAUGCAUUUUUUAAUUGCUGUACUUGAGGAAAUAUGCCUCUAUCAACAAAUGCGUAAUAGUUCCUAACCAAACAUUAAUAGAAUUUAAUCUUUACAAUAUGACAAUGUUGUUAAAAUAGAUAAUGCAGUUGUUUGGAUUUUUUAUAAGAACCUUUUUCCUUGAUUUGUAUAAUAAUAAAAUCUAAAUGUAGCAUUUGGCCUGGCAGUCUAGUGAUGCCUUAUAUCCAGUACAUUUGUGUCACAUGUGUUACAGAAAGAUCGUACAGGGUACAACGAGACAAAAUUAUCAGCAAUUUAUUGUGUUAUAAUUUCAUCAUGCCAGUAACAAUUUGACCUGAAUUAUACUUGAAUGUUUGCCUGACUUAAACAUUUAGCUUAGCGAAAUAGGACUAUAUUCUGUUGAAUAUACAGCUUAAGAUAGUUAAAUAUAUGGCUAUGAACAACACAAAGUAGUACUUUAAACUUUGCUCCGUAGUAGUCAUAAAAUUUUAGUCAUAUCUUCCAGAGCCACAGUGUGUCAUUAUUACAUUUGUUAUUAACAGACGUUUUCAGCUUGUUUGUUUUGGGGAUAAUGACUUUCAAGGUUAUGAAUUCAUCCUGUUGCAUGUGAAUCAUUCUUGCAAUUCCUAAUAACAUUCUUGAGAGCUAGUCCUACAAAUUUUUAUUGAAUUAAUAAUAAAGUAAGGGCAACAUAAACGGAAAAAACAUUGAAGGCAAUGAAAACUUCUGGAAUAAAGGAGUAAAAUUUGGAUUUUGGUACCCAGUGGCCAAUUAGUUAAUUUAAUAGUCUCUCAGUUUAUGCACACAUAAAAUACUCAUCAUUUUCAUCAGCAUUUCAUCCAGGAUCCAAGACCACAGGAUUGUUAAAAAUAUAAUUAAAAUAUUUUUAGAAUGAUUCAUGGAGGAUAUCCCCAAAAGGUCACUGGCAGAGUUUAUUUGUUAUUUAUGCUCUAGACAGUUCUUACUUUCUCAUCUCUGGAAGUACUUUACCUAAUAAUUCUACCUUUUUCUCUCCAAAACAUGAAGAGAAAUCAAGUGACCUUUUAGCUACUGUAAAUGUCAUUAUGAGCUGUGGUGUGAACAAGAAGGAAGUGAAUGUUUAUCAAUUCAAUCCUAUAAAUGUUUAGCAGACAUUAAAUGCAAAUAAAACAGGGCUUGAACUUCCUGAGCUCUUCACAAUGACCUAACUUUUACUCCUGCCAAAUAGACACAUACAUGACCUGCCUAGAGUAAUUAGCAGACACAGCAAAUCUCUUGUCUUACAAAUGACCUCCAUUUCUAUGAAACAUUUUUAUUACAUGUAUAUUAACAAGAAAAAUGUUUCUAUACAUAAUGAGCACAAUAACACUACAGUAGAACUAUUCCAGUUUUAGGUGGGUGCUUUGUGUUUUGUCAUCACUAAGUAGGGGACAGGUGAUAAAUAAAAAUAUUACAUGAUUCAUUAUCUCAGGAGAAAAAAAAAAUCAAAAACAAAGAAAGAAAGAAAAAAAAAAAAAAAAGGAAUUUCUUACCCUGCCUAAUUAUCUGCCUAUUCUAUGGAAAACAACUGCACUUUGGCAAAAAAUGAUUGCCUCUCCGCUGUGCCUGAAAUCUUUUUGAAUGAUAUGGAAUUUGUGAAAUUAUGCCAAUCACUAACAAAAUAAGCAUUUGACUGACAUUAAAAUAAGUUUGGGCAAGUGGGAGGGGAGAUGAGAAUUCUCCUCAACAUGUUCAGACUGGCAUAUAUAAUUUCCUCCCAUGAAUUGCCUGUGACAAUGAUUUUCAUUCCAUCAGGAUCAUUACAUAUCUUUUUCAUUUAAUUGUUGUUAAAUGCUAAUUGGUCUACAAGAAAAUCUAUUAUCAUAUUUCAUUUGUCAAGGACAGCAAUGAAAUUUAUGUAUUAACACUAUCAAAUCCAAAAAGAGGAAGCUAUUAAUGUUUUAUCUUAAUUAAAACAUAAUUUCCGUGCUUUAGAACGCAGUAUGCUCCUUCUUAUAUCAGUGGUAUUACAGACUGUAUAGUGUCUUGUUUCCCAUUUGCUCACACAAUCUGAGAUGAAGAUUGACUAUGAAAGGUACAGGAUGCCAUAGGCUUUAUGUGAUUAUAAAUCUAAUUGAUGUCAAAAUGGUUAAAGUGUUGGAUAAUGACUUUGGAAUAUUAAUGAAUGUCUAAUUAGAAAGAUUAAUAGUAUAUAAACUAGAUUUUAAUUUUGGUUCUAGAGUUGAUACAGAGAACUAUCGUGAAAGCACACAGAGACAUGCUCAAUUAUUGUAAUUCUCCUAAUUAUAAAAUCAAUUUCAUGGAAAAAAAAAAAAAAAAAAAGAAAGUGCUGUUUGUGUAGAGUAGAUAAGUCCUCUGGGUUAAACGUUUUCCCAAAUACAAAAGAGAUGUGACUGAACUUAGUAAAAAUGAAGUGGAGAGAGGAGAAAAUAAAUAGGAAGGCUAGAUUUGACUGGUUACUUCAUAGGUUUUGAUCUUACUAAAAUAAUAUGGUAUUGACAGAAAUCCCUGGCUAUACUAUUUUCAAUAUUAUUUGUUGCCAGUACUCCAGAUACAUAUAUAUAUAUAUAUAUAUAUAUAUAUAUAAAAAUAUAAAAAAUCAGAUAAUCCUUCCGGAAUACUCCUUUCUCCAUUUCUUUCUGGAUUGGAGUUAACUCAGCUCUGUAAGUGUUUCCUGCAAUUGAUUAGCUGAAAGAAAGAAAGAACUGCAUCCCUUAGCUUUGCUGGAACUAACUUUCAGAACGACACAGAAUGAAUGAACAAAGUAAGAGUAGGGCAAAAAGCAAUGCUGGAAUCAGAAGAUGGUGUCAUUUUCUGGGAGUGGAAGAUGGCACUCCAGGGCUUAUGGGACUUUAGAGAAGUCUGGGUGGGGAAAAACAUAAAAAUAAAAUUAAGAAGAGGGGAUAUGAGCUGUAUAUGGAAUUCAGUCCUUUCUAAUAUUGCUCUUUCAUUAUUUUGUUAUAUUCUUUAAGGUCUUUCUCAACUCUGUUUCUUCAUUUCUGUUUUGGAUAUUCAGGUCCUUCUCUAAAAAUCACUUCUGCACGGACAGAGGUCUGUGCUUACAUGGAACAAGGCAGCUCCACUGAAGUAGGAACCAUUACAAGAUUUUAUUGUAAAUGCUCUAAUUCACCAAAUUUUCUUAAAGUGUCUGUGAAGCACUGAAAACUGUUAUUCUAUGGACAGCCAAUACCUUUAAGUACAAACUUGAAUACUAGAAUCAUAGAAUCAUAGAAUCAUAGUUUGGAUUGGAAGGGACCUUUAAAUGUCAUGUAGUCCAACACCCAUGCAAUGAGCAGGGACAUCUUAAAUUAGAUCCAGUUGCUCAGAGCCCCGUCCAGCCUGGCCUCAAAUGUUUCCAGGAAUAAGGCAUCUACCACCUCUCUGGGCAACCUGUGCCAGUGUUUCAGCACCUUCAUGGGAAAAAAUUUCUUCCUCAUGCCUAGUCUGAAUCUCCUCUCUUUUAGUUUAAAACCAUUACCCCUUGUCCUGUUGUAAUGAGUCCUGCUACAAAGUCUUUCCACAUCUUUCUUAUAAGGCCCUUUUAAAUACUGAAGUUCUAUUGACUUUUCUAUUAGAAUAAUAUUUUAUUACCAUUAUUUUAUGUGUGAAUGGUAUCUCAUUUAACAGUGUUCUCAGUAAAAAAACAUAAAUAAGAUAAGAGGGCUACAUUAAGGAAGGCUUCUUAAAAGAAGGUUACAUUUUAAGACCAGGUUCUUCCUUAAAAAUCAGGGAAACAGCCAUAAAUGUAAACUGCACUACAGAAAUACAGAGCAAGCCCUCUGUCCAGUUUUAUCGCAUAGAAGAAUAUUGCCUUAAAAUUAUAGAAAUUCUGCUACUUUAGUAGGUUUGGGAAAAACAAAUGCUGCUGAGAGGUUUCUUGGCAAGGAGAAAAAAAAAACGGUCACACAGAAGAAAAAAGUUGGCAAAGGAUACUUAGAGAAACAUAUUGAAGCACAACAUAAAAACCUUAUGAUUGUGGAAUAAUAGGAAUAGAGACUGCGGAAAAACUUUAGGAUGUUUGUAUGUGCAGACGUCAAUUCUGGUAUAGUAAUGACAGGAUUAUGUGAAGUGACAGCUUCACUGGAAUUGGUGGGAGAAAGCCAGCUUAACAAAGAUAGUUUGGAUACCUAGGAAGUAAAUGACUGAAAAGUUCAAAGGUAUCAGAUCAAGAAGGAACCAAAGUUGUGAAUCUGAACCCAGCUUACACCAACUCAGCACUGGUGGUAGGACUGACCCUCCUGCUGCUGCCCUUCCCAGACAGCUCAGAUAGGUGAGACUGGGCAGGUCUCAGGCAGAGGUCAGUAGCCUGCUUCAGGCUGAGAAACAGAGAGGUGAUAUACCAUUCCAGCAAUGAAGCGGGUGAUGCAAGUCAGCUAUACUCUCCCUUCAUUCUCCCAGAGAAGAGAAAUAUGUUGUCUUGACAAGCCCACAGGGUAUGUACUAAUGACUGGCAAAAGGACACAGAUGGGUAUGUGAUGGUGUUGAGAUAGAGCAGAGGUGUUAGGGCCACUUGUUACUCACCUUGAGGACCUUUGUUAACCUUGAUUUUCUCUGUUCCUUAAAGGAGGUGUCAAUGAAAGUCUUAAUUUUGCUACUUAGACACAAACUUGUUUCAUCCUUACCGUUAAAUUUCCCUUUCCUUUCUAAGAAUUCUUGAGCGAGCCUUGAAAAUAAAACAAGCAAAAACUCCACCAAAACAAGUGUUCUAGAGACAGCACAAAACUGAAUGUCAAUGAAUAGCAAAGGUUAUAGAUAAUUAAAUUAGAAACUAAAAAUGUAAAGCUAAAAUAGAAAGUAAAAUGAUUUAGUAAAUUAAUAGGAAAGAAUUAAAAAGGAUCGACGGGAAAAAGAAAAGAGCUUUAGAGACUGGUUUGAGGCUUCUAAGAGAGACUGGAGAUGCAAGAAUGUUGGAGAUGUCAUGGCAGAAAAGCAGUCUAUGAACAAGCUGUAAAGAUCCUAAAUGAAGCCUUUAUAUUAGGUUAAAAAAAAAAAAAAGGGAUGAGGAACAUGCUAGAGAGAGGAGAAAAAGAGAGAAGAUGCCAAUAAAGUAUGUAUCCAAUAAUCAAAGAGAAAUUAAUAAAAGAGAAAAAAAAAUGAGGAUUAAAAAAAAAAAAAAAAGGCAUAGAAGAAAUGCUUGGUUUGGGAUUUUCUUUAGCUUGUGCCUGCUAUUCCAGUUCAACAGAAAGCCUCAGAUAUAGAGAAGAAAUCAUAAAAAAAGGAUUUAGUCAAAAGCAUACUCUGACCUGAAGAGCAAAGAAGUGAAACUGAAAGUGUAAAUGUAUGAAGUUGGAAAUAAAACAAGGCUAAAAAAUUAUUCCUGUUAGAUGCACUACACACUUGAAAAAAAACAUGUAGCUGUUUAGGCAGUUAUGAUAGGAAUGGGAAAAAAAUCACUGGUCAGAUAUAUUGCAUAGAUUAGAGAAGAUGAUACAGAACUUUUCAAAAUUAAAAGGUCCUCCUUUUCAAACCUAUAUUACCAAAGUGAGAGUGUUAUCUUUAGGAAAGAAUCUAAAACUAGUAACUCCACCAGACUACAAGAAGAUAAGCAGAUCCAGUUUAAAAGCACAUGUUUUAAAAAACAGCAUUUAUACAGGCUGUGAGAAUACCUUGCUCAUGAUGUCAAAUUAUGGCUCAGUCUUCUUGAAAGGAAGGGACAUGAAUGAAUGUUGUUAACAGGUUACAUUCACAUUCAGUUGCUGUCACAUCUAAGACACCUUUAAGUAAAUGACAUAAUGAAUGAGGUUGGGAAAACACCAAACAUAAAACAUACCAUCAUUGCAAGUAAAUUGACGAUUUAUGCAUACGAAAAAAGAGAAGUCCUUGGAAUUCACAGCAAUUAAUAAGUAUAAUGGUUUUGGAAACUCUUUCUGCACAGAUAUUAUCCAUGUAAUUCUGUUCCUUUUUGGUGGCUCAUGAGAUUUUAGUCCUAAAAGUACUCAGUAUAUCUGUAUAUCUCAAAUUAGUUCUUGCUCCCAAAAAGUUACUUUAUCACUUUAAUUCCAGCUCUGAAAAAAAGAAGUACUUUUGAAGUCUGUACUAACAGAACCCUGUUAUGGGUGUAUAAGCAGCAUGACAUGGGGCAUUAUAGAACAAUGGAGGUGGCAUCCAUCACUUUGGAGUCUGAGGUUACGAUUCAGAAAACCCAAUGUACAAUAAUAGUAUCAGCAAGAUUGGAGCAUUUUCUUCACUGAAAAUAUUGCAGUCAAUUCUCUGACCACAUGAAGUUACUCAGCAGAUCAAAUUGCUUAUUUUCAGGGUUUAAUUCUAAAGUAACUCCUUUCUAUGGCAAUUAUUUUCCCUAUCACAACUCACAAUUACUGUGAAAACAUUCUUCUGAAAUUGGUUUCUGUGCUGCAAAGUAAGUGAAAUAGUAAACUGUUCAAUUAUUUUGAAUAACAAUGAACACUUUUUGUGGAAAUCUUGCCACCAUUUUUACAAACAUUCAAAUUUGUAAUUUUUGCAAAUUAACUUAAUGAAUUUGAAAUUAGGCUGUUCCAUGUGCAAUGUGAAGAUGUGAUCUGGUUGUUUUCCUUGCUAAGCAGCAAGUUAUAAAUUUCAAUGUCAUUUAUUUUACCCAUUACAAUGAAAGUCAGCUGGAGUAUAGAUAGAAAAUCUGUCAUGUGCAUUUUCAAAAUGGCCAGUCUUCCAUGAAGAAUUAGAUUUUCUUCUGAGAAAUAAAGGUUAUUAAUAUACAGCCAGGGCUGCUUAUUAGUCAAGGAGUCAUGAAAGUUUUAGUUUCUCAUUAGAAAGAGAGUCUAGUCCAGAAAUACCUGUACCUUGCCUGCACUUUCUCCUUCACUAACAGAAAUGAGACCUUUUCAUAGUUAAAACAGCAGUUAGAACCCACAGCAAAUUAUACAUUUAUCCUGGCUCACUGAACAAUGAUUUCUGAGGUCUCAUGUAGUGUUAUCUAUUGCUCUGAAACUACCCAUUCCUCAAGCAUGAUUUCUGAGCCUGUAUUUCUCUAACAGUUUGUAUCAUCACUCCAGUUAUAGAAACACACACGUAUGUAUACUAAAAAAAUAUUGAGGUGUUUCUAUAGAAAAUCUGUAUCUGCAAAAGAUACCAACAUUAAAUAUUUGCAAUGAAAUUCUAAGUCAUGCAUGCCUUUCAACUGAUUCUUUGUAAAGAAUGAAGAAAGAUGAUGGAAAAAUGCUUAAAAUAUGAACCACAUACUCCUUUUCUAAGGUAAUUACUUGUAGAAAGAUACCUGGAUACUUGUAAAGCACAAAUUUUCACUCUGUGCUUAUCUUAGGUAAGUAACAAAGCCUUGCAGGUUCCUUGGGUCAUGUUCCCCUAGAAUGGCAGAGAUGGAAAAGUUUGUAGUGUUUCUCUCAUAGUUGUUCCUUUUCCUGGAAAAAACAUAGCUGGUGUUAUUCACACCAGCCCUUUUUGUGGAUUUCAGGGCUGAUCUGAUUGCUCUCCUUUCAACACCAGUAUAAAGUGGACAUGAAGCUCUUCAAAAGCAACUUCUGUUUUCUUAUCUUGGUCUCAGAGCAGCAUUAGAUGUUCAAAAAUUACAAGAAUCAUGCAUUUCAAGAAGAUCUGUCCUUUCUCCUAUCAAUUUACAGUCAAUAUACAAAUAGCUUGAAUUAGUUGUUAGUGUUUUAUUCUUAAUCUACUAGUUGUUAGUAAGACAGAAUUUCACACUAGGGAAACUGAACCUGUAUUAUUAGAUGUUAUGAAAUUUUAAAAUUUCAAAUAUUUUUCUGUCUGUGUGGACAGUAGCCUAUUUUAUGUUUUUCUGCAAAAUAUUCACUACUGCAACAUAUAUGCCAGCUUCCAUGUUUCUGACUGGUUGCUACCUGCUUUGUUACAAAAAACUUGUUCUUUUGUUUUUUUGUUUUUUUGGUUGGUUGGUUGCUUGUUUUUUUGGUUUUUUUUUGUUUGUUUGUUUGUUUUGUACAAAUAUGUCCCAAUAUCCAGGAGCCAAAGUUUAAGUCUGUGUGUUAUCUACUUCCUAAUUAAUCUUCAAUACACUGGUCUUGAACCACUGCCACAGCUCUGGUAGUUCUUAAAGCUGAAGGGAAAAGUUUUUUUCCAAGAUCAGCUAAAAUCUUGUGAUAUUACAGUCUCCUGUCAUUGAAGACUUUUCAUUGAAGACAAAAAUUUCUGAACAGUCCCUGCACAUCUGAUUGUCCAGCAUGCUUCUUCAGAUAUGGUGAACACAUUCAUCACAUUCUGUCUGAAAAAUCAUUAAAUAGAAUCUUGACUUUUACUUGCAGAUCAUGUAAUUUCUUGUAAAAGAAUGUAACCUCCAAUGUAAUUUAUUUUUGAUAUUUCAAGGAAAAAAUAUUCAAAAUAUGACAACUGAAGCUUAUUCUUUUUGGUUCUUUGCUUGUAACUAUACUGUAGCUUCUUUUCCAUAAAUUUGACUUUCUUCUAUAUAGAGUUGUUUGACUGACAGCUACCUACCUGAUGGGCCUGCAAGAAAUCAUGGCUUUCCUCAUCUGUAUCUAACGUCACAGUUCUGUUGGACUCUUGGAAAAGUAUUGCAGUCACUUGGGUGCACACAGCAGCUCCCUCUUCCUUCCAAUGGCUUAUAUCUGCAUGUCUGAGUAGAUGUCCCUUGUGAUCCUAAUGGAGAUUAGGUGAUUAGGCAUCCUAGAGAGUGCAGAAAUUAAUUCCUUCUUCACUAUAAGAUUUGUCCCUAUUAAAAGUUGCUGGCAUUUUAUUAUUCACACCUGAAUUGUCUUCUGAGGCACCACAUUGCAAACUUUAAUUACUAUUGUUUUUCUUUUUCCCUCGCACUGAGAAUAUUGUGGUUUUGUAUGGCAAUUAAAUAUUGUCUUAUUACUUAGCAGUGAGUGGUACUGCUGUGUUUGAAUUGCUAUACAAAAUAAGUGAUCACUUCUCUUGUUCACAUCUUUCUUACUGACAGCCUGAACACAUCCAGUUACAAUUAUGACAAUUGAAUGAAUGCCAGCUUACUUUCCUAGGACAUAUACCUUGAGAGUCAUCACAAACAUACUACAAAUAUCUUCCUUUUCACUGGAAAUUUCUGCAUCCUCCAUCACUGUAUGUACUGAGUCUUUUAGUAGAUCUUCCUGACAUAUUUUCAACAUAGGGAAAUAAGUACUCCAGCUUCUUAGACUUUUCCCUCUGCAUUAUAAUUUGGUCUGUCGUUGUCCUGUGGUUUGAAUUCCUUCAAUUUUAUGAUAUUUCAUAACAUUAUAUAAUUUCCAUUUCACAAAUAAUUUUGCUAUUUGUGCUGAAUAAUUGAUGGCUAAAUCAGCUGCCUUCUUUAAGUUGGAUACAUGAUAUAUGCAUGAAGUCUCUGUUGUUCAAUUAAAAAUUUAAUUUAAAAUGUAUUUUUAAUUACAGGAUAUUUUUUUCACUAUCCACAAAGUAAUGGAGUUCCCAUAUCUAUAGUAAAAACAUUUUUCUAUUUCUCAGUAUCAGACAAAAAUAUUUUCCUAUCAUUUCAUUUUUAUAAGGGUAAAGUAUUUGUCUUACAAUUUUAUUAGCUGUGCCCAUGUUUCAGCCACAAUCGCUGAAGGUGUACUCAUACACAUGUCGAUUCUUAUGUGUGCGUUUUGAGUUGCCCAGUCCCCAUCUUAUGAUUUCGUAACAUGCACAUGCCCAACACUGUUCUACAUACAUGUACCAGGUGAUCUUCAGCCAAUUCUCAGCUUUUAUCAGUUAAAAAAAAUAAAUACAUUCCUUUUCUUAUCUUUAAUGACAUGUGAGCUCAAUAAGCACUAAUACAUACCUAUUUUUCACUUUUUUGUCUGUAAGUCCAGGUCCAGCAUCCUGAUUUGUCUCUAAACGUCUCCAAUUCCCUUUUCCCAAUACUUUUAAUCACUGCAUUGCUUGCUUAUUAAUCAAGUUCUCUUGCUCCCUAGACUGGUCACUUCCACGGUAUUUCAUGCAUUUCUUUCUGGAAAAUGAGAAAAGGUGAGGUGUUCAUGAAAACCUGCAAUCUUUAUUAAGAAAGCCAUUUAGCCAAAUGUUAAAAUCAGAUUUAACAUGGCAUUCCCCAUAGCUUUAUUCUCUGGAUCAUUAUUAGAUAAUUCUGUCUGUAAUUUAUGUUCCUUCAUCCAAUUCUUUCCAUGUUAUUAAAAUUAAUAUUAAAGUAGGAUGGAUUUGUCAGCAAUGGCAAAGCAGAAGGAUGAGGUGUAAGAGAAAAGAACUGUCUGAGGUGUGUCUGAGGAAUCUGGGGUACCUCAAUGAGCAUUUAGAGUUUCAGGAAGAAGUGGGAUUCAAAAUCUGUGGGAAGAUAUGUAUGUUGGAAUCAGGGGCAUUUCCCUCCCCUAAACAUUCCUCCCUCCUACUGCUCUGAUCUCUAAGGAAGACUCUUACUGUCCUCUUCCUAGGUCCUUUUCUUCCUUCACCUAAACUUCAGUGUUCCCUGAUCCUCACCUUCCCAUGGCAUUUGUCUGCCUUUCUGCAUGUGUCAUCAUUUUUUCUAACUAAGGCUGUUUUUUCCAAUUAUUCUUUUGCAAAUGCUAGACUUUAAGACAUGCUAAAGUAUUAUGUGUAAUAAUAGGGAUUUCUGUGUAAAUAUAUUUUGAGGAUGUUGUACCAGAGCUUUGAGAGAAGCAAAUGAUGACCAAAACACACACAAUAAAAUGUGAGGUCUCUCCUCAUUACCAAUUGGACAAUAACCUUUUCUCUCCUUGGAAGUAGUAGUGUGGAGCCUGAAUGGAAACCUAAACUGUACUCAUCUUUGCUGUAUAACAAAUCACAUGUAAUGAGAAACAUGCAAUAGAGAGUGCAAGUAGGAAGAUCAUUUGUUGGGCAGAUUAUGUUAGUGGUAGUUCAAUUGUAACUGUAUUUCUAUUUUUGCCACUAGUGUAUGAAUAAAGACGUAUGAUCUCAGGGUGUGCAUCUGAUUUCAUUAGCUCAGAACAACAGUACAGACCAAAUCUCUGUAAGAGAAUGACAUUUAUAUUUCAGUGGGAAAAGAUGCAGAAGUAGUUCCCAGGUUGUUGUCCUUGCUACUGCUGUGAUGCAAAAAGGUCUGCACUCUCCUUAGAUAGGAGCCACAUUCCUCCACCAAAUUUGCUUCAAGAAAUAUUCCUAGAGCCCGCAUGUAAGAGUGCUGAGAAGCACUACCAGAAGCACUGGCAAGAAUGGCAGCUAUGUUACAAUAGCAAUAAUUUUUAAUUGGAAAAAUGCUUCCAAAAACUGAAACCAAAACAGAAAAAAAAAAAAAAAAAGAAAAAAAAAGUGGAGAAAUGCAAAGACACUGACACAGAUAACAUCCUUUUUAAGUCUUGACAUGGAAAUCCACCUGCUCCAGGUCAGAGGCAGAUAGCCUUGCUCUCAAACUGCAGAUAAAUAGUGAAACUGUGGGGAAGUCAGACCUCUAUCUCUUUCUUGCCCACCCCAAAAACUGUGUUAUGUUCUGCAAAGUUUGAUUUCUAACUGUAGCUUGAAAUUGUUUUAAUCAUAUGGGACAAUUUUCUGCAUCAAGAUAUCUGGUAUGCCCCACCUCCCUCUUUCAUCAAAGUAGCACUCAUUCACAACUACGUGCCAUUCAUUGUCUGUCUAAAGGCAUUGCAGAGUAUGAAGAAUGCAAAAUGAGUCAAUGACAAUCAAGAGAAGAAUGGGCACAGUCCUCAGGCUUGCAAAUGGGAGGACUGUAGAGACUCAAACCUUUUGUUUCAAAAGUAACUAGUAUUUCUCUGUAUACUUUCUGAACGCUUUUUUUGCCAAAUGGCUAUAAGAAAUGCUGUGUUUGGUGGUAAAGGCAACACCACCUACCAUUCUGGUUUGCCUUGUUUGUCUUAGAAUUCAGAUACAAGUGGAGAAAAGAAGGCCUUUCAUGUAAUGCUUCCUUCUCUUUUACAUGUGGUCUGCUCACUGCAUCACCUGUGGGAAGGGACCUAGGACACUGACGAUUCCUUCGGUACCCCCUUGAUGUCUGUUAUAAUUGUGGGUUUUGGUCUUUUGCUACAAAUCUUACAUAUGUUUGAAGAUAUUAGAGUGGGCUUUGGCUCAAGGAAUGUAGAAUAAGGUCCUGUGAGGUCCAAGGGAACUUGCCUAUAGGUUUACCUGCCAGUGCAGAGGGUUUGAUUUGCUAAGCCAUGGUGUGCAUUUCUAUAUUUAUUGCUGCUCUAAUAGGAAAUACCAUAUUUUAUAGCAUUCACCUUCUUCAGACAGAUAGGGAAUUAUGCUUCCUGUGUUACAAUACUAUGUAUACACCAUAGAAUAGUUGGACUCUGUGUGCUGUGAAUUCACCACUUGCGUUAGAAGAAAAGAGUUAUCAUAGCAAAACAGAUUCUCUUUCCAAAACUGUUGCUAAGACACUGGUUUCACCUAGGAGAAUUAAUUGAAAUGCCUCUGUGUUUGUAAAAUGAUCUAGAUUAAUUCUUUUUCCACAAAUAAACAUCUGCUUGCCAGUUGAUUAGGUAGAGGUCCAAAUACUGCCUGCUCAAAGAACAACCCGUUUUGAAUUAGACUAAUUAUUAUCAUUGACAUAAAUGAAAACUAGGUCAGAUCACAGAUAAAAUUAAUAAUAAAAAUCCCAGAAAACUUUAUUUGCUGUAAAGAUUAUAACUAUAAUUUCCCUUCCUAACAUAUUUUGCUAUUCACUAUUGAACUCCUGUUUAUUAGAUUGCUGAUUUUCAUAGAAAAUUUUAUUUUCUACCAGAAAGCAUUUUUAAGUGCAAAAUAUUCACAAACAGACAUUUAGACCAUUUUUCCUAUUCUGAAACAUUUGUAUCAGAGUCAAAGCUUCUGACAGUGAUUGGAAAUGUUGGUCACCUCAGUAGAGUUGCCAGUUUAAGACAGUAUACCAGCUUGUUCAUUAAAGAUCAGCUGUAUGAAUUCUGAUGAUCCAAAUGCAGUAAGGUGUUUCAGAUCGGUGAUGAAGUGACUUAAGUAAUAAAAAUUUUUAGACAUUUUUAACAAUUUUGAUACAGACUAAUGAAUUUGAAAUCAGGUUUCAGCUUUCCAGCAGUCUAGCCUUUUUAAUACAUUCUCUGUCUGUCUGUCUACUGGCAUAUUUAUUGGAGACAAUAUUUAUAGAAACACUGGCAAAAGUUAAGGAUAGCUUUCUCUAUGUCCCUACUAUAAAUACAUUAAAUUUUAGGCUGUAUAACAGUAACAGAAAAAAUCGUGCUUCAAAACAAAUAUACCAAAUUAUAUGCCACUACUGAAUAGACAGAGAUUCCUGAUAGAAAAUUAAA